rnacentral:rRNA from 1 species
UACGGAGGAUCCGAGCGUUAUCCGGAUUUAUUGGGUUUAAAGGGUGCGUAGGCGGACUGUCAAGUCAGCGGUAAAAGCCCGGGGCUCAACCCCGGCGAGCCGUUGAAACUGUCGGACUAGAGACGGCGAGAAGUACGCGGAAUGCGCGGUGUAGCGGUGAAAUGCAUAGAUAUCGCGCAGAACCCCGAUUGCGAAGGCAGCGUGCCGUGCCGCCACUGACGCUGAGGCACGAAAGCGCGGGGAUCGAACAGG